AAGCAGCCACUCAUUCAAAGAGUGCGUACUAGCAAACUGGUCGAGUGAUCUUGCGCCGAAGAUUUCCGGGGCUAAAACUUACUACCGAAGCUACGGCAUCAUUAUGAUGGGUAGGGGAGCUUCCCAUACGGGUUGAAGCAUGACCGUAAGGACAUGUGGACAGUAUGGGAGUGAGAAUGUUGGCAUGGGUAGCGAGAUGUGGGUGAGAAUCCCACAGGCCGUAAACCCAAGGUUUCCAGGGGAAGGUUCGUCCGCCCUGGGUUAGUCGGGACCUAAGCUGAGGCCGAAAGGCGUAGGUGAUGGACAACAGGUUGAUAUUCCUGUACUACCGAUAACC
rnacentral:rRNA from 1 species